GGAUCCUAGAACAUAAGGUAGGCUGGACAGGAAGGGUGUCACCUUCUGUAAAUUUACUAUUGUUUAGGAGAAUUCAAAGCAGAAGAAAGCAAGCCAUCAAAGGAACCGACGAGGACUAUUUCCCCCCACCUUGUUCUGAGGGUUUAAAUUACUCUGGUAUUUUAAAUGAGCUGCUUUUGAAAAAUAGGUUACUGCCAUUUAGUUGAUGACGGAAACAGAAGCCAAGAAGAGUGCAAAUUGUAAACUGACGUGCAUAAGCCAAGCGUAUUCUCUCAAAUGACAACGUUCAAGACGCAGCUAAAGUCCCCACUCGGGCGGUAAGCGUGUUACAAAGAACUAGAUCUCUUUCUGGCAUCCGCAACUUGGCCGGAGUGACCACGGAGGAGUUGAAGAGCGCUGGAAACGCUAGGUUCCUCGCCGGUCACCUGAGGGCUGCGGCCUUGGGUCAGGUUCUUGGCUCCCAGUCACUCAUUCCAAGCAAGCCAGCCAUGUGACAGGAGAGAGAUGCUCAGACAUUCCGACCCCCCGUGUGGGCCAGACUUGCGAAUGAGCAAAUCAUCCUGAAGGUUUAUCCCUCGAACCUUUACGUAACUCGAACCCAGCCCCGCCCCGUUCGGCUGAAACUGCUUCAGAAUCCCUAAGCCACAACUGCCCGGCUGAGUCCUAGCAACUCACUGACCCAUGAAAGGUAAAAAUAAACUGUUCCGAGCCACUAAGUUUAGGGGUAGUUUGUUGACAACAGUAGGUAACUGAAACAGUGUCCUAGGCUAAUAUUAUAUUUUAACUCAACAGUGUAGUUCAUUUUGAGCUCCCUGGCAUUCGAAGCAACAAGGGGAGCAGGAUGGAUUAUAUGCACUUCUUAUCAUCUUGAGUAUUAGGAUUUACCUGAAGGGCUAUUUCAUCUGACUCGUCUCCUUGUGGUCCAAUCAGAAUGAAAAUUAAACUAUCUUCUUACAUUAGAAUCUCUCCGGUCUUGACCAAAAUUACGGUUGUGCAAAUUCUGUCAUCUGCCCUGCUAGAGCAAACCAAAGAAUUACAGUUGUCACUGACAACAAAAUGUUCCUUGCAUCUGGCCCAAAUCUUUCAGACGGUAGCUCGAGCCUACUUUCUCCUGUUUGGUGCUCAGUGCCUCUUCUGCCUCCUGCCUCAUCCCCACCCCAAAUUAAGUCACAAAUGGGCUCAGUGUCUCUGGGGUCCUAAGCAGCCAAAAUUAAUGAUUAAAAUAGAAAUGCUGAAAAUAGUUGAAACUGAAGCAGAUUGGAUGAUUUAUUCAAACCUUCAGGAAAAAUUACUAUUCAGCCCAGAAUUGGAAAUUGGAUUUGUGGUUCCUAAGAAUGCAACACUUCCCUGGCGCUAGCCCCCGAAAGGGAAAGGAAACAAACAUGUAACAUACCUCUGUGACCGUCUUUGUGUCCUUUAGACCCAGGCUCUGGGAGGUCAGGAACCGCAUCUGUGUUCUGGGUAGUGCAAUGUUUAAUGCCUUAUGGUGCUUAUUAAAGCUUGUCUUCAUUAAGUGACCUUCCAAGUCUACGAUAAUGAAACACAUAAAGCUGAGUGUGAAUCGGGGAUUUCUGUUCUCUCCAGUGUGACCUUGGUGAACAGGCGUUACCUGCCUGUGGGUCCCAUUCUGGGAAGGCUGGUUAGCACGGGGGGUAUUUGAGGUCACCUCACUUACGUAGAACCUGAAUGAGGCCCAGCCAACCCUGUGAAGGUAGUGAACCUUGUCCUUGUGUCCUUGACCUUGUUUUCUGUAGUCUUCCCCCACAUUUGUCUUCACACCCCUAAGCAGGACUUCCGAGUCCUCGUAGCGAACCUCUGUGUGGACAGCCUGAAGGGUAGCAGAGAGGAGCACUCUCGAAUCCCAGCUGAGUUCCUUAUACCACAUUUUCCUAAAUACUUUCAAAUCACCAAGACAUUUCACAUCCAUAUUUCAGGUCACUGCCUCAACAAUUCCUGUGGAAUCCUGGGGGGAUGACCCUGUUAUGGGUUGAAUUGUGUUCUCUAAAAGGAUAUGCUGGGAGUCCUAACCCCUGGUACCUGCACAUAUGACCUUAUUUGCAAAUAGGGCCUUCGCAGAUGUAAUCAAGUGAAGCUGAGAUCGUUGGGUGGGCCCUGAUCCAAUAUGACCAGUGUCCUUACAAGAAGAUGGAAAUUUGCUCAUAGACAUGCACCGAGGGGUGACAAUGUGAAGACACAGAAAGAAGAAGAAGAUAUGAAGACAGAAGCAGAGAUUGGAGCCACGCACGAGGCCACAAGCCA